CUUGUAAAAACCUUGUGUUUUAUAAAUAAAAGCUUGCUACUGGUCUUCUAUAUCGUUCUUUGUAAUGAAGUUUGUCCCGCAGCUUAUCUCACUCCCAACCCGUAAAGCCUUCAGUUUAAGUGUCCCACGAUUUUGCGUCACAUGUAAGUCCCUUAUGUGAAGCAUAGAAGCAAGAGACAUGGUUGGUUCCUUUUUAUGUAUUGUAAGAAACAAAUGUUAUGUUGGAAUUAACGUUUAAAGAUGUUGCAUAAAAAAAUAUGUAAAUGAAGACAUGUUUGUGGGAAGUUGAUUCUAUCAAUUUGUUUCCUAGGGUAUAUAUGUACCUGAUACACAAAAUCAAACUUAGUGCCUACUCUUUGUGUUAUAUGGAUAUGUUCGGUAUGAAAAUUGAAUUAUAGAGUGAAUAUGUAUGCAUGGAGUACAAUUUGUAGACAUAUGCAGUUGUUACUAAUUAAAUGGAAUUUAUUUUGUAAUUAUGACC